rnacentral:rRNA from 1 species
UCGGGACCGGGGUACGGGUAGGUAACGUACGUGGGUAAAACCGUAACGCCGGUACGUACUCGGGGAGGUGUACACUUAGAAAUAGGUGCUAAUACCGCAUAAGCGCACAGCUUCGCAUGAAGCGGUGUGAAAAACUCUGGUGGUAUACGAUGGUUCCGCGUCUGAUUAGCUAGUUGGUGGGGUAAUGGCCUACCAAGGCAACGAUCAGUAGCCGGCCUGAGAGGGUGAACGGCCACAUUGGGACUGAGACACGGCCCAAACUCCUACGGAAGGCAGCAG